rnacentral:rRNA from 1 species
UAAUACGGAGGGUGCAAGCGUUAAUCGGAAUUACUGGGCGUAAAGCGUGCGUAGGCGGUUCGUUAAGUCAGAUGUGAAAGCCCCGGGCUUAACCUGGGAACUGCAUUUGAAACUGGCGGACUUGAGUUGAGUAGAGGGGAGUGGAAUUUCAGGUGUAGCGGUGAAAUGCGUAGAUAUCUGAAGGAACACCAGUGGCGAAGGCGACUCCCUGGACUCAAACUGACGCUGAGGUACGAAAGCGUGGGUAGCAAACAGG